GAGUAGCUGGGACUACAGGCGUGCACCACCAUGCCCAGCUAAUUUUUGUAUUUUUAGUAGAGGCGGGGUUUCGCCAUGUUGGCCAGGCUGGUCUCGAAUUCCUGGCUGGGAUUACAGGCGUGAGCCACCACGCCCUGCUGGAUUUUGGAUUCUUGAUACGUAUCAUCAACCACUCUCCAGAGUUUGGCCAGCUUCACGCUCCAUCAGUGGUCUCACCAUAGACCUUCUAAUCUUGAUUGUGUUGGCUGGUGUCUAUUUUCUAAUGGUGUUUGGUUUUGGAACCUGCAUUUCUUUGAAAAAGAGUGAGCAUGUGCAUUUUCCCAGAUGCCUGGUAUCCAACUGCACUUCUCCAUGUGUGCAUUGUCCCCUGAGCUGGCAAGAAGAUCCUACUAGUUGGUCUGCAUGCCAUGCCAGCUCGGCCUUGCACCCUGGGGGCCCAGGUAACUAGCUCUCACCAACAGAAAGAGAUGUGAUGGACAUCACCUGAGGCCAGACCCUAAGACCUCUGUGUGCCCCCUCCGUGUCUCCUGUCUGCAGCUGUUGUCCACACCAAGGGUGGCCUACAGAGGGAAGUGAGGACCUUGGGACUUCCUCCAGGACAGCCCUCGCUGUCCAAAUCUCCACCUGCUGCAGAGCUGCCUCCAGUCAAGCCCUUGUUUCCAGCUUUCUGUGCCCUAAAUAAACUUCUGCUGGGAUUGAGCCAUCAGCAUUCUGUGGUGGGCGUCGCUGCUGCGAGGUUGCCCUCGUGCACACAAGCUCCUCACAGGACUUCCAGGAUGAUAUGGAAGAGUGACUGAGAGCAGCCGCCCGGUGCUUCCCAACCUUAGAGGGAGGUCACGGGCAGUCUCCCUGCGAUGCUGGCCACAGGUGUGAGGAAGACAGUCCUUAUAGGAAAAUGCCCUCUCGUUCUUAUUCUCUACUUUAAAAAAUCUUUAAAUCAUGAGUAUAAUAAAUGUUAUCAAAUGCCA
rnacentral:lncRNA from 1 species